CAGUAGCCACGGGAAUACGGAGGGGGCUAGCGUUGCUCGGAAUGACUGGGCGUAAAGGGCGCGUAGGCGGUUUUGACAGUCAGAUGUGAAAUUCCUGGGCUUAACCUGGGGGCUGCAUUUGAGACGUCAAGACUAGAGUGUGAGAGAGGGUUGUGGAAUUCCCAGUGUAGAGGUGAAAUUCGUAGAUAUUGGGAAGAACACCGGUGGCGAAGGCGGCAACCUGGCUCAUUACUGACGCUGAGGCGCGAAAGCGUGGGGAGCAAACAGGAUUAGAUACCCCCGUAGUCCCUGUCUCUUAUAC
rnacentral:rRNA from 1 species